GCGCACGGGUGAGUAACGCGUAUGCAACCUACCUUUUACCGGGGGAUAGCUCAGUGAAAACUGGAUUAAUACCCCAUAACACAGGGAUACCGCAUGGUAAUAUUUGUUAAAGCUCCGGCGGUAAAAGAUGGGCAUGCGUGACAUUAGCUAGUUGGUAGGGUAACGGCCUACCAAGGCGACGAUGUCUAAGGGGUCUGAGAGGAUGAUCCCUCACACUGGUACUGAGACACGGACCAGACUCCUACGGGAGGCAGCAGUGAGGAAUAUUGGUCAAUGGGGGCAACCCUGAACCAGCCAUGCCGCGUGAAGGAAGACGGUUCUAAGAAUUGUAAACUUCUUUUGUACGGGGGUAAAGACAGAUACGUGUAUUUGUUUGAAAGUACUGUACGAAUAAGCAUCGGCUAACUCCGUGCCAGCAGCCGCGGUAAUACGGAGGAUGCGAGCGUUAUCCGGAUUUAUUGGGUUUAAAGGGUGCGUAGGCGGAUUUAUAAGUCAGCGGUGAAAGACUGUCGCUCAACGAUAGCAUUGCCAUUGAUACUGUAGAUCUUGAGUAUAUUUGAGGUAGGCGGAAUGUGUAGUGUAGCGGUGAAAUGCUUAGAUAUUACACAGAACACCAAUUGCGAAGGCAGCUUACUAAACUAUAACUGACGCUGAGGCACGAAAGCGUGGGGAUCAAACAGGAUUAGAUACCCUGGUAGUCCACGCCGUAAACGAUGAUCACUGGAUGUUUGCGAUACACAGCAAGCGUCUGAGUAAAAGCAUUAAGUGAUCCACC
rnacentral:rRNA from 1 species